rnacentral:rRNA from 1 species
CCUACGGGUGGCAGCAGUAGGGAAUAUUGCUCAAUGGGGGAAACCCUGAAGCAGCAACGCCGCGUGGAGGAUGAAGGUUUUAGGAUUGUAAAAUCCUUUUGUGAGAGAAGAUAAUGACGGUAUCUCACGAAUAAGCACCGGCUAACUCCGUGCCAGCAGCCGCGGUAAUACGGAGGGUGCAAGCGUUACUCGGAAUCACUGGGCGUAAAGAGUGCGCAGGCGGGCUUGUAAGUCAGAUGUGAAAUCCUGUAGAUUAACUACAGAACUGCAUUUGAAACUGUGAGUCUAGAGUGUGGGAGAGGUAGGUGGAAUUCGUGGUGUAGGGGUAAAAUGCGUAGAUAUCAAGAGGAAUACUCAUUGCGAAGGCGACCUACUGGAACAUUACUGACGCUCAUGCACGAAAGCGUGGGGAGCAAACAGGAUUAGAUACCCUAGUAGUC